GAUCCAGCCAUGCCGCGUGCAGGAAGACGGCCCUAUGGGUUGUAAACUGCUUUUGUAUGGGAGCAAUAAGGUCUACGUGUAGGCUGAUGAGAGUACCAUACGAAUAAGGACCGGCUAACUCCGUGCCAGCAGCCGCGGUAAUACGGAGGGUCCGAGCGUUAUCCGGAUUUAUUGGGUUUAAAGGGUGCGUAGGCGGUUUUAUAAGUCAGCGGUGAAAUUCUCCGGCUCAACCGGGGGACUGCCGUUGAUACUGUAAGGCUAGGAUAUGGUUGCUGUGGGUGGAAUGUGUGGUGUAGCGGUGAAAUGCUUAGAGAUCACACAGAAUAUCGAUUGCGAAGGCAGCUCACAAAGCCAUCAUUGACGCUGAGGCACGAAAGUGUGGGGAUCAAACAGGAUUAGAUACCCUGGUAGUCCACACUGUAAACGAUGAUAACUCGCUGUCGGCGAUAUAAAGUCGGUGGCCAAGCGAAAGCGAUAAGUUAUCCACCUGGGGAGUACGACCGCAAGGUUGAAACUCAAAGGAAUUGACGGGGGCCCGCACAAGCGGAGGAACAUGUGGUUUAAUUCGAUGAUACGCGAGGAACCUUACCCGGGCUCGAACGGUGCAGGAAUACUUCAGAGAUGGAGUAGCUAGCAAUAGUCUGUAUCGAGGUGCUGCAUGGUUGUCGUCAGCUCGUGCCGUGAGGUGUCGGCUUAAGUGCCAUAACGAGCGCAACCCUUGUCGUUAGUUGCCAUCAGGUAAAGCUGGGAACUCUAGCGAGACUGCCACCGUAAGGUGUGAGGAAGGGGGGGAUGACGUCAAAUCAGCACGGCCCUUACGUCCGGGGCGACACACGUGUUACAAUGGCAGGUACAGAGGGGAGCUACCCAGCGAUGGGGUGCGAAUCUCGAAAGCCUGUCUCAGUUCGGAUUGGAGUCUGCAACUCGACUCCAUGAAGUUGGAUUCGCUAGUAAUCGCGCAUCAGCCAUGGCGCGGUGAAUACGUUCCCGGGCCUUGUACACACCGCCCGUCAAGCCAUGGAAGCCGGGGGUGCCUGAAGUUCGUGACCGCAAGGAGCGACCGAGGGCAAAACUGGUAACUGGGGCUAAGUCGUAACAAGGUAGCC
rnacentral:rRNA from 1 species